AUGUUCUUCUAGACACGAAAUAAAUAAUAGAAAACGUAUAACAAUCUCGAAUAACACUAUAUUUUUUUACGUUUUUCUUCGCCGUUUGCACCUCGCUCGGUAGCACGGUUCGGCCUCGUAUGUGAUUACGUUGCGUUUCAUAUAUUUCGAGUUUCGAGUGGCUAUAUUGUAAUGUAUAUUGUCGAGUAUAUUGUAAUAUUGUAAUGAACUCUCUGGUAGUUUUCCGACAAACGUUUCUUAAACUGUCGUAAACACGACUGACGAUUAUGACCGAACGCUACCAAACGGAAUACCUAGUUUAAUUGGUGCGCCGGAUAAGACUGCAAUCACUACUAAUACUGAAACAUCGUCGAUUAUAAGUCUGACGGAAAAGCAAUUUGUACAGAACAAAAAUGCACAAGUCUACCAAAAAGUGUAUCAAUAACCUAUAUAGGGAUGUUUUUGUAGUCGUUAAAUAAGCAAAUUAAAGCGGUUUUUUAAUAAAA